GAGUUUGAUCCUGGCUCAGGAUGAACGCUGGCGGCGUGCUUAACACAUGCAAGUCGAACGAAGCACCUUGAUUCGAUUCUUCGGAUGAAGAUCUUGGUGACUGAGUGGCGGACGGGUGAGUAACGCGUGGGUAACCUGCCUCAUACAGGGGGAUAACAGUUAGAAAUGACUGCUAAUACCGCAUAAGACCACAGCACCGCAUGGUGCAGGGGUAAAAACUCCGGUGGUAUGAGAUGGACCCGCGUCUGAUUAGGUAGUUGGUGGGGUAACGGCCUACCAAGCCGACGAUCAGUAGCCGACCUGAGAGGGUGACCGGCCACAUUGGGACUGAGACACGGCCCAAACUCCUACGGGAGGCAGCAGUGGGGAAUAUUGCACAAUGGGGGAAACCCUGAUGCAGCGACGCCGCGUGAGCGAUGAAGUAUUUCGGUAUGUAAAGCUCUAUCAGCAGGGAAGAAAAUGACGGUACCUGACUAAGAAGCACCGGCUAAAUACGUGCCAGCCGCCGCGGUAAUAC
rnacentral:rRNA from 1 species